AAGACGAACCGUGCGAACGUUAUUCGGAAUCACUGGGCUUAAAGCGCGUGUAGGCGGCCCGGCACGUCAUCGGCUGAAAUCCCCCGGCUCAACCGGGGAAGGGGCCGUGAUACGACCGGGCUGGAGGGGGGUAGGGGGGACGGGAACUCACGGUGGAGCGGUGAAAUGCGUUGAGAUCGUGAGGAACGCCCGCGGCGAAAGCGCGUCCCUGGACCCCACCUGACGCUGAGACGCGAAAGCCAGGGGAGCGAACGGGA
rnacentral:rRNA from 1 species